rnacentral:rRNA from 1 species
UACGUAGGGGGCAAGCGUUUGUCCGGAAUCAUUGGGCGUAAAGCGCGCGUAGGCGGCCCGGUAAGUCCGUUGUGAAAGUCAAAGGCUCAACCUUUGAACGCCGAUGGAUACUGCCGGGCUAGAGUCCGGAAGAGGCGAGUGGAAUUCCUGGUGUAGCGGUGGAAUGCGCAGAUAUCAGGAGGAACACCAAUAGCGAAGGCAGCUCGCUGGGACGGUACUGACGCUGAGGCGCGAAAGCGUGGGGAGCGAACAGGA